AACUGUUUGUUCUUCGGAAAUAGGGUCUUGGAUGAUCUCGAAGAAGAAUCAGUAGUUCUUGGAAUAGGUUGUAGGAUGAUUCUCUUUUUAUUUUAGUAUCACAUACAUUGGAGUACACGCCAAAUUUCAACAAUGAGUAAAGUUGGAAAAAUUCAAAUUUAAAUCAAGGAUUUCUUCCUCAAAAUAACGUUAAAACCUCAAACGAUGGAUGAAAAUGUGCUUUAGGAGCUGAACUACAAUAAUUGAUACAUUUGGAAGUAAACAAAACGGUUUAAGAUAAGAUUUUCACCAACAAAAAAUCUCUCUGUCACAAAUUCUAGGUUAUGUUCUCUCGGUGAACUAAGAGAAUGUUAAAAUUAUUACAAUACAUACAAUAUAGUUUCCAACAAAAAAAUCAAGGUUGAAAUGAAAAUUCCAAUAAUCCACAACAAAAAGGCGCUCUCUAAAUCCUGCAAAUUGAUACUUUUAACAUCAUCAUAAUUUUCUCGAUUUUUCAGAUUAUUAAAAAAACGCUUCAUAUCGUUAAUCCACUUCUCUUCCAACCCGCUUUGAUGAACGACAUACAUAUCGAAACUAAAUUGAUCCGCAAUCGGAUGACACCGCUUAAACAUCAAAUAAUACACAACAACAUUAAUCUUGAUCGAAUCGUACAAGCUCUCAUCGUAAAGCAACAUUAUAUUUUGGUGAGCAUAAACGAUAUGGUUCUUCUCCUUCAUAAAUUCGUCUAUAAACGAACGGAUAUCCCCCGAUUUUUUGCGAUAACCUUUCAUUUUUAAACGUUGAUUUCUUUUUAAGAUAAGCCCGGCGAAAUAAUCGUUUAAAACGAACGGAAAAUCCGAAUCGAAAGCUUCGUUUAAAGUGGUGAUUCGUUUCGAGUAAAUCGGUUUUGUUAAGGUGCUAAAUAAAUAGGAUUGAAUUAAAGAGGAAAUAAUUAACGAGUAUAAAAAGGAAGAAAUAAAAAUAAUUUUAAGAUGAUUUUUGUUAAAAUCGAUUUUGAUUGAAAUGAAAAGUGUU